rnacentral:rRNA from 1 species
CAUAUGCUUGUCUCAAAGAUUAAGCCAUGCAUGUCUAAGUUCACACUGUCUCACGGUGAAACCGCGAAUGGCUCAUUAAAUCAGUCGAGGUUCCUUAGAUGACACGAUCCUACUUGGAUAACUGUGGCAAUUCUAGAGCUAAUACAUGCCUAUGAAGCUCCGACCCUCGUGGAAAGAGCGCUUUUAUUAGUUCAAAACCAAUCGCCGUUCGUCUUCGGGCGGGCGGUGUCCCCAUUGGUGACUCUGGAUAACUUUGUGCUGAUCGCAUGGCCUUCGUGCCGGCGACGCAUCUUUCAAAUGUCUGCCCUAUCAAAUUUCGAUGGUACGUGAUAUGCCUACCAUGUUUGUAACGGGUAACGGGGAAUCAGGGUUCGAUUCCGGAGAGGGAGCAUGAGAAACGGCUACCACAUCCAAGGAAGGCAGCAGGCGCGCAACUUACCCACUCCCGGCACGGGGAGGUAGUGACGAAAAAUAACAAUACGGGACUCUCUACGAGGCUCCGUAAUUGGAAUGAGUACACUUUAAACCCUUUAACGAGGAUCUAUUGGAGGGCAAGUCUGGUGCCAGCAGCCGCGGUAAUUCCAGCUCCAAUAGCGUAUAUUAAAGUUGUUGCAGUUAAAAAGCUCGUAGUUGGAUCUCAGGUGCAGGCGGACGGUCCGGCUCGCGCCGGUUCACUGUCCGUAUUUCCUGCCCUACUGGUCUGCCGGCUCUCUCCCGUGGGUGCUCUUCGCUGAGCGUCCCGGGUGGCCGGCGCGUUUACUUUGAAAAAAUUAGAGUGUUCAAAGCAGGCCUCGGCUGCCUGAAUAAUGGUGCAUGGAAUAAUGGAAUAGGACCUCGGUUCUAUUUUGUUGGUUUUCGGAACUGGAGGUAAUGAUUAAAAGGGACAAACGGGGGCAUUCGUAUUGCGGCGUUAGAGGUGAAAUUCUUGGAUCGCCGCAAGACGAGCUACUGCGAAAGCAUUUGUCAAGAAUGUUUUCAUUAAUCAAGAACGAAAGUC